rnacentral:rRNA from 1 species
CAGUCGCCACGGUAAUACAGAGGGUGCGAGCGUUAAUCGGAUUUACUGGGCGUAAAGCGUGCGUAGGCGGCUUCUUAAGUCGGAUGUGAAAUCCCUGAGCUUAACUUAGGAAUUGCAUUCGAUACUGGGAAGCUAGAGUAUGGGAGAGGAUGGUAGAAUUCCAGGUGUAGCGGUGAAAUGCGUAGAGAUCUGGAGGAAUACCGAUGGCGAAGGCAGCCAUCUGGCCUAAUACUGACGCUGAGGUACGAAAGCUUGGGGAGCAAACAGGAUUAGAUACCCCCGUAGUCCCUGUCUCUUAUAC